rnacentral:siRNA from 1 species
AAGAGAACGUGGGUUAGAGUGUGC